UACGUAUGGUGCAAGCGUUAUCCGGAUUUACUGGGUGUAAAGGGGGCGCAGACGGCAGCGCAAGCCAGGAGUGAAAGCCCGGGGCCCAACCCCGGGACUGCUCUUGGAACUGCGCGGCUGGAGUGCAGGAGGGGCAGGCGGAAUUCCUGGUGUAGCGGUGAAAUGCGUAGAUAUCAGGAGGAACACCGGUGGCGAAGGCGGCCUGCUGGACUGCGACUGACGUUGAGGCCCGAAAGCGUGGGGAGCAAACAGG
rnacentral:rRNA from 1 species